rnacentral:lncRNA from 1 species
GACCCAGGUGCUGAAUGGCGGUGGUGCAAGUGGCAACCUGCAUGUAGGUAGCACCGUCAAUCAGCAAGCUGUUAGAGACCAACUCAAUAACAUCAAUAAAUUCCUCAUGGGAACAAGUGAGACACAGAAUGAGGAGAGCGAUGACUUGGAUUAUAUCCUUGCUUACUUUAACCAAGUAAGAUCCUUUGUCCACCUUUUUAUGCAUAAUGUCUGUCCUGUCCUGAUUUUCAUUGAAUUCCAUUUCGCAUUUUUGUGCAAAAGUAAAUUAACACAUGAGGAAUUUACCUAACUGAUGUUGGUUUAAUUACUUCUAGUUGUUUGUACUGAGUGCAUUGCUCAUCAUGCUUGUUCACGCAUAACUCGACCAUAAGAUGUGUUAAAUUGCUAGCUUAUUUUAAAUUUACUCCAUCUAUCCUAUCUGGCUUUGCAUGUGGAAUUGAUGACUACCACUUAUAUGAUUUAUCUAAUUGAACUAGUUUCUUUCAGCAGGAUUUUGUCAACAAUGGUGAUUCUUUCAUCGAUGGGGACAGGGAGUUUGCUUCUUGACGUCAUCUCUGGAAAAGAGAUAUUUCUGCAUUUCCCAGCUGCUAACCAAUUCAUGGUUCUUGCAUGUUGUAUGUGCAAAUUGGCACCAGUUGUAAGCUAGGAGCAGGCCAUCUUGGAUGGAAUCCCUAUGUUUCUCUAGUGUAGUCAUGCUGGUUCUCUUUUGUACCAGCUGUAGCUUUUAACCUGUGGUGUUAAGUUUGGCGGGAGGUGUGGGUUUGCCACCCCUGCCAACCCCUGACCUAUGUGUUCCUCUUCGUCUUGAAUUUUAGUGGUCAUUUUUAUUUUUAUAUAAAACAACCUAGCCCCUCGUGGGUGGUCGAUCAUAGACAAAGUUAUGACAGAUAGAUGUAGUUUCCAUGUAUGUUUUAUCUAUCCAGUGGUAUGAUUUGCAUGAACUAUUUGAACUGUUGUAUUUCAUCUGUUUUUGAAUUAAUGAAAUGUUGCUAUUUCUUGAAAUUAGAUUGAUGGUCCAGAUCUUUUUGUAUGGAACACUAGAACAAAUGGAAUGUGAGACAAUAGUGCUAUUGUUCAUUACUAUAUUCUGAGCAAAAUAAAAGUAGUGCAAGACAUGAAGGAACCUUCAAUUCAGGAUUCAUGUACAUCUGUUGAUAGUCUUGUGUAUAAGAAAGGACAUGUCAUUUUUCUUUUAAUUUUUUAUACAAAAUGAAAACAAUCUUUCAUCUCCUUGACUUCAACACCAAUGGUGCUUCCUCAUGGAGUUUGUAACAUAUCCAGAUGGUAGUGAUCUAUUCAUCCCUAAUUUGAUUUUGCCACAUUUGAUUUUGCACAUCUUUCUUUCUAAAAGGUCUAUGUGUAUCCUUCACCCCUAAUUAGUUCUAGAAUAGUUCUUAAAAAUCCUUCAAAUUCAUUAGGCUUUGCAAGUGUUUCAAACACAAUUAUACAUAUAACUUAUAUACAUAUAUAUCUUAAAACUCCUCGCCAAAAAAAUAUAUAUCUUAAACACAUUAAUUUAAAAGUUAAUAAUCUUGUACUUUUAAUCUUUGACCAAACCUUGCACAAAAUGAUAUGUUUUUAUGACUAGAGGGAAUACCUUUCUUUUGGAAUUGUAUUGGUAUAUAUUUGUUGAUGCAGUAAGCACCCUUUCCUUUGUUUAAUUGAUCUUGGGGUAGAUUUAUUAUCUAAACCAUAUUAUUUUUCUUGCAUCUAGGAGGGAAAAAAUUACUACCUUAUGAUUCAAACCAGCUACAGGCCUAGAAGCUCCAUGGGCUUAAACUGUGGGUGAUUCUAGGGUGGUUUGGCUGGUUUUCCAUCCAUCAAGAAACUGCACACAAUAAGACAAGCGACCAGCAAAGCCAGCAAGUCUGGUAGUGGAAGCAUAGGGUUACUGAAGGCAGGAAUUGAUGCGAGGGAAAUUCCUCAUCACAAGGAUGAACACCUUCCAUCUUUGCAGCCACCUGCAUUCCGAUCCCCGCUCCUCCCACAAUCCCCUUGCCCCUUAUCUCUAAUUAACCCUAACACUAAUGGGCCACACAGCCGAAGCCAGCCUAUGACAUGAAGCUUGUCCACUAGGUUGUGACCUAUCAGCCUAUGGCAAAGUUGUAAAUGCAAACUAGGAAGCAUAUUAGUGAACCAUUUAGAAAUUCAAAUUUUCAUAUUUCAUCUAAGUUUUUUUUACUAAAAUUUGGAUUGGAACUGAUAGAGAAUUGCAUUUAUUAUGUGUAUGGCACAUUUGCUUAAAAUGAAUGUAAAUGACACAUGUAAUGCCUAAAGAAACGGAAUUUGAAAAAUGUGCCUAGUCAACUAAACAUGAAGGCCAAUAUAUCAUUCAAUGUCUAGUCUAUUGAGCUUGUUGACUUCUGUAUAUCAUAAUUGACUUAUAUUGCCUUAUGUCAUGCACUGCUAUCUGCAAACAGUGAGAGACAUACUAUAAUGAAAGGGAUAAAGCAUGGAACUUGUGAUUAUAUGGUAAAGCUGGCAGCUGCUGAUGGUAGACCAUCUCAUCCAGGUGACCGUGGAGGAAGGCGUUCUUUGCAUCCUGAUGAAUGGGCCAGGAACACGAGGUGGCCAUGCUGAGGACAAUGUUGAUUGUCUCUAGUUUGAUAACCGGGUUGAAGGUCUCGUCGUAGUCAAUGCCUAACGCACCUUGUGUCAAGCCAGAGUCCCAUCAAAGUGGAACUAGUCUUUGAAUAGCCACUUUCCAAUGACGAUAUUGACAUCGGGCGGUUGAGGUACCAGGCGCUAGGUGUCAUUGGCGAUGAGAGCAUCGUAUUCUGCCAACAUUACAGCAUGCCAAUUGGGGUUAGUAAGGGCACUAUGAUAGUUGGUCAGAAUCAUGGAGACAGAAGCCAAAGUGAUCGUUCAGACAUAGACUGCCUGUCUGCGGCCAUGUCACUGGGCGCGAGAGUGGAGCCAAGAGUGCAGUAAGAGGCUCCAAGGGUGUCGGGGAUGAGGUCAUGGACGUCACUAAUAGGUGGCGCCAAAGUGGCCGCUCUUGCCCAGACGUGGUGCAGGUGCACUGGGACCAAAGGCUUGCUUGGAAGCAGUGGCAGGGUGUGACCGUAGAGGUGCACCGAGCUAGCGUAAAUGAUAGCUAAAUCUUGGGGUCUAGUAGCUCAGCCUCACUGCUAGGCGGAGGCGCAAGUGGUCGCUUCAUGGCUGUAGGUGGAGGAUUUGCUGGUGGAGAGAGACCCUGCAUCAAGAAUUCAAGUGAUGGUGGCAUAGAGGCUACUGACGGAGUCGAGCGAGGGGAUAGUUUGUGGAUUAUCGUGGCACUAAGGUUGGGGUAGCAGAGGGAGCCGAACAUUCAGAGGGAAGAGUAAUUUGGGAGCUUCUAGUGGAGAAGCUAGUAGGGAAUGUUCAGCCUAGUAUUGGGGUGGCAUAGAAGCGUGGAGCAGCAGGUGCGAACGAUAUUUGUUGAUGGUGCAGAGCAUGUGUUCGGCUUUGCCAUUUUGUUGAGAAGUGUAGGGGCACAAGAGUCGCAAGGUGAUGUCAUGACUAGAGAGGAAAACACUGGUGGCCCUGUUGACAAACUCGGUGUUGUUAUUCGUUUGGAGAGGUUUUGGAGUGAUGUUGAACUACGUGCGAGCAAAAGCGAUGAACUCAACAAGAUGGUGGUGAACCUUAGAUUUGUGGCAUAAGGGAAAUGACCAACAAAAAUGAGAAUAAUCAUCAAGCAACCUGAGAUAAUAUUUGAACCCUGAUGUGCUCAGAAUAGGAUGUCCAUACAUCAUAGUAAGUUAACUAAAAAAUGGAGCUAGUGAUAGAAGUAGAACUACUGAACAGGAUUCGAGUGUGUUUACCAAGAUGACAGACAUGAAACAGAGACCGUGGUAGGAGAUGGCAUACAUGCUCUGUAGGGUGGCAAGGGUACAAGGACCAUGAUGACCGUGAUGAUGAUGCCAAAGUGUGGACGAGGUGUAGAGACCCUGCCACUAUUGCAGCAAAGAAUCACACAUCCUGUUUGCAGGUCAUUAAGAAAAACCCAGGGCAUCAAAUUCAAUGGAGCAUGAGUUGUCGUGAGUUGCACGAGAGGAGCAACUAGAACAUUAUUAAGGUGGAAGGUAGUAUUGGUUGUUAACAAGGUAGAUGUGCCAUGAUGGGAAAUGGUAAUACCAUUACCAAUGGUAUUGAAGGAAUCAAAGUGAGGGGGCAGGAAAGGAGUAUACCAUCUAAGAAUGUCAUGUGUGCAAUGGCACCAUUGUUGAGGACCUAGGGAUUGAAACCCUGGUGGUUUAGGGCAGCAAUCAGGCUAGCCUAAUUGUAGCAACUAGCUCUCAGCCGGGGAGUAUCCUAAACAUGGACGCAUGGCAGGCAGAGCCAUAGGAGGGAACUCCUACAAAGAGGGUAGUCUAAGAUGUUACCUAGCCCUUGUUGGCAAGACGGAGCUCCUUGAGGACAAACCUUUUGUGGACAGUGACAAAGUUAGGGUAUCACAUUGGAAUCUAUAAUGUUGUCGGCACUGUGGGAAAAGCGGGGGUUGAGGAUGAGCUACGAAUGGACAACGGUGUGGCUGACGUCAUGCGGGGCAUCAAUGGUAGUCUUCAUCUUCUAGCAGUUGUCGUUGAUGGAGUGGUUGCCCUGAGUCGCCGAGUAGAAUUCGUGACUCAGGAAGAUGGUGUGGGAAGCCUUGUUCGCCUAGAAGAGGUCGGAGAUCGCUGCCACAACUGACAGGUAGUCUAAUUUGGCUCUUGGGCGAGGUUGAGGAUGUCAUCUACGAUGGUGUUGAGGAGCUCGUUGUGGAUGCAGGAGUCAGCUAUUACCCACGCCUCAUCAUCUGGGCAAGCCUAUAACACGCCAUCGACAUGUGGGCAAAUGCCAAACUUGCCAUGCAGGGAUAGGAAGAAGUCUGACCAUCGAGUGAGGGCACUUCAACUUGAGGGUGAUUGGCACAUGGGACUUGUCAAAGAUUGUGGCAUAUGGAGGGAUAAAGAAGACUACUGAUGUUGAUCCUGACCCAGCAAAGGCUAAGGAGAGUUGAGGGGUUGCUAUGGUGGCGGCAUGCCAAGGAAGACCGAAGCCACCAGCUAGGAUUGGAGAAGGAGGUGGGAACAGCCAGGGUGCGUGGCGCUGCAAAGGAGGGAGGCGUGGCUAGGGCGAGUGGACCUAGGCCUGGACUUGUGAUACUUUGUAAGGGAUGGGAAUUACACCACACCCCCAAUGUGUGGGGUGUCUGUCAUGUAUAUAGCCAUAGUGAACAUGUGGUACAAGAAAGGUACUACAACACAAGGAAGCUAGGCUAUGAUUGAUCCUAAUGGAUUCUAUCCUAGUAUACAAAUGAUCCUGAUGGAUCCUUUCCUAAUACAAAUGAUCCUAAUGGAUCCUUUCCUAAUAGAAUGUUUCCCAAUUUCUUGCGCUUCAUAUGUUGAUUUAGCUGUGUAUGAUCUUGAUGUUGUAAACCUCCAAGCAAUAUCCUCCUCUGUUGUCAGGUUGACAUCUUGCAAUUGUGCCUAGAGUUGCAUGAAUUGGCAUAGUUCUAUGUUUGUGGUCAUCUGCCUCCACACUUCCAUGUCCGGUUUGUGAGAGCCUUCGCAACACUUUGGUUUUUGCAGAAUGCAAGCUUGAAGCAGCUGUGUUGUCUUUUGGUGCAGUGCGCUUGAGCCAAUUGUCUGUUCAAAAUUUUGUUUUUGAACCAUUGCGAACAUGCAUCUAUGUGCAACACUUGAAUAGCUAUUUUUCUGUGUUGUUGAGGCUGAUUGGCAGUCCAGCAAAUGGUUUAUUAGGAGCUUUCCAUUUGAGCCAUGCCCAUUGGAGACACAAGGCUUUAUUGAAUGCAGCUCUUAGUUCUUGAUGCCCAGCCCUCCUAGUUUUUAUUGAACUGCAUACUCUAAUCCAGUUUACUGGACAGUGGCCGCUCCUUGCAUCACCGCCCCUUUCAUAAGAAGUUUCUUCUAAUUCUAUCUAUACACUUAGUAGCCCAUUUGGUGAGUGGGAAUGCUGUCAUAUGGUAUGAUGGAAUGGCUGAAAGUACUAGCAUCAGACACCUAGAUUUUGUCAGUAGCUUCCCUUUCCAACCGGGUAUUGGCUCAAAUUUUGUUGAUCAGCACCUAUUCAGCUUCUCUACACAAUCGCCCAAUAUGCAGUGGUAAUUCAAGGUAUUUGCAUGGAAACUGGCAUACCUUCCCCUGAAAAUUUCCCAUCAAUGCACUUAUUGGUUCGCCACAUCUAAUUUGAUAUACCACCCUGUGAUAUUUGUUUCCAAUCUAGUAGCUGUCCCGAAGACUGCUAGUAUCCUCUAGAUGGUUGUGAGGUCUUCCUGUUUGGGUUUAAUAAGAAGUGAUGUGUCAUCUGAAUAAAGCUUGUUCUUAUCCAGAUUGGGUCGAAUCUAACCAGGGAGAGAAUUCCUUGUUUCACAACCAGAAUUUUAAAUUUCUAGUGAUGUGGGCUUCUCCUAGUGUUUUAGCAUUUAGAAUUUAGUAUAAACUUUCCCUGCCAAAUGCCUACUAGUGAGGAUUCCCAUGGGCUAUUACUACUGGUAGUGUUUUAUUACUAUUUAAAAACACUAGAAUUCCACCAUUUUGGUAGUGUUCAGUUGCCUUCUCAAGUAUUUUCUGAAUUGGGUCAAUUGCUAGGAUGAAGACCAUCAGUGAGAGUCGAUCCCCCUUCCUAAGUCCUUGUUGGUGCCAGAAAACCAUUGAGAAUGAUCCAAGGUGAGGUGGAUGACAAGAUUAAGCAAAUGAGGUCCCGCCAGCAUUGUCCAAAUCCUAAUUCCUAACCCCUGUAGAAUUUCCAACAUAUAAUCCCACCUGAUACUGUCAAAGGCCUUGGUAGCUUCCAGUUUCAGAAAUAGCAUUGGCUUUUUGAGUGGUGGAAAUGGUUGACAGCACCUUGCAAUAUUAAAAACUAUCUAGGAUGCUCCUUCCUUUGAUAAAGGCGGUCUGGCUAUGUGAGACCAGAUUGUUAAGAUGCGGAGACAAUCGGUUUGCCCACAGUUCUCCCAUUAUUUUGGCCAUGCUGUGCAUAAGACUUAUCAGUCUGUAGUCAGCAGCUGUAAUGACUCCUCUCUUCAGCGUUAGGAUGACAUUUGCUGAAUUGAGAAGGUUCCAGUGUGAAGCUCUGAGGUUGUAUAGUUGCUGGAUGGGUUGUAUCAAGUCCAUGAUGCUUGACAAAUUCCCAACAUGUUUUAUAGAACAGACCUAUGAGGACAUUUGUUGGGGUGUCCAACUUCACCAGAUCUGUCUUUCUAUCUUCAAACUCUCCUAGUUCAAUGUGUUCAUUCUUGGUGGGUUGCUGUUGAAGAGGUUUGCCUAGGAUUGUAGUCGGAUGUUUGCCUUGUCUUGGAUUGCUGUAGCAGUUUUGUCCCCAUUUUUUAGUGUGCGAUGUAGAAAUUCACGUUUUCAAAUUUCCUCUAAUUUUAUUGCAGUUUGUAUUGGAACUUUAUGAAUUUUGUUAAUUUCAGCUGCGAAAGACAUUUUUAACAAAUCCAAAUCGUUGGAUCAGUCUAGCUGUUGAACUGCUGUUUCUAGCUAGUUCAUUUAAUAUGCUACUGUUUGUUCAUAUGUAGUGCAAUCAGUAACUACUAAAUAUUAUUGCUUGUAGUUUCAUGUGCUACCAUUAGUUCAUAUCUAAGCAAUCAAUCUAACAAUUGAAUCAUGUCAUUUGUGUAUGGUUCAUACAUUGCCAUGGAUUAGUAAGCUCUAGGCGCAACCAAGAUAACUUCUGAAUUUGUGACCUGCAGUUCGGUUUGUUAUUGUUGGUUUCAUAAUAACUAGUUGUUUCUAUAAGGAUGUGAACUAUGUGUAUGUGUAUGAUACAUUUGCUUAAAAAUGAAUGUAAAUGACACAUGUAAUGCCUCAGCCUGGGCAAUCGGUUAAAACCGACAUUUCGGUUCGGUUGAUUUGGUUUGCAAAAACUUCGGUUUGCAAGAAUCAGAAGCUGAUCGGUUAUCCCCAGAACGAGAAACCGACGAAAUCGGUUUCGGCUUUUUAUAUAGGUUUUUGGUUUUAAACCGUACUAACCGAACUGAAGCCGCCGGAGGCCGAAGCCCCUCGUCGUGCUGCCGCCGCUCUUUGCUCGGCGUUGCUCCGCUCGCCGCCGAAGACCUUGCUCCCCGCUCGCCUCCGCCGCCCCUCGCGCGCUGCUCGGCCACCCGCGCGCGCCGCCGCCGCCCGUGCACGCCGCUCCCGCUCGCCGUAGUAGCAAACUGAAUUUCACCUGUGCACGAACGACCGCGCGGAGCACAGCAUCGCCGAGCCGCCACCGAGCCACGCCAAGCAGCUCCAGCGCCUUCUCCUCCCCCUUUCCCCCCAUGGACAAGCUUAAGCCGGGGGAGCGCGCCCCCGAGCCGAAGGCCCAUGGGGGACGCUGAUCCACGUGCGGCGGAGUCGCGAAGGAGGAGGUGGUGGCGGUGGCGGUGAUGCUGCGAGCGCAGGAUCGACGAAGUACGCUGGCAGCCGAGUCGGUGCCGACAUCCGCGCCGCGAUGGUCGGUGGAGAUGGACGGUGCGGAGGUGGACUGUGCGCAGCCCGCUCGGGAGAAAACUGAAUUUGAAAAAUGUGCGAGAUGGAAAUUCCACAUCGCAAGUCUGUUGCACUGCUCUUCACCUGGAAAUCGCCUCGCUUACUUUGCUUUUUCCUCUGUCUCUGUUGCUCCCUAGAGGUUCUUGGACAGCAGACAUUGCAGCAUGUAAGGAAGUCCAAUUCUUCUCGGGUUCCUUGCGGGGAGUUGGUGGUCGGCGGCUGCUUUCUUGGUGAAGGACCGAAAACGGCGACCAGAGGGGGGGUGAAUGGGAGUCUCAAAUUUUCUCACGAAAAUAUUUGGCCGCUGUCCCAAAAUCACCACCAAACACAAUUAACUAGCUGAGACUAAAAUACGCUAGCCAACUUGUGACAAGAGUAACUAGAACAAUUCCUUGGAAUGGCAGAACACCAUCGCAACAGACGGAACACGAUUUAGAGCUCAAACGACCAAAUUAUGCGAGAAACACAAAAUCAAAGCUAGUGAAAAAUUGAUAGAAAAUCACCUAAAAAUUGUUCAUCACAACAAGACCAUAACUGCAAGGCGCCCAAAACUAAUCAUUGUUCGGGCUCUGUUCGGCGAGCAGCCCACCAAGAGCGAGCACUGCUGUGCUUGUUUGCUCGACGUCGAUCCAGCAGAAACAUCACCACAGCAACGAGUACAAAGACAAAUAUCGAACAAAAACAAGAACCAAGCACAGCUCACGGUCCAAAAGCAGGGACGUGAUUCUGCUCACGCCUGCAGAGAAGGGGAUCCAACCUGAUCCUAUCACGAGCACCUGCAAGAAAACUGGAUAGGCAUAAGUCUGCUCAUGCUCAAGCACGGGAAACAAUGGUUGCCUGGGUCUGGAGGUGUUGUCUGCCUGCUGAUGGUGACCGGAGGAAAAUCCAGUGGCCUUAGUGGACCAGGGUGCACCACGGCAAGGCAAAAAAGAAAAGAACUGACUUAGCACAAGAACAAAGAACAGAACUUGACUCCUGAAUCAAGAACGAACACGAGCACCUGAUUGACCAAAAGCAACGAACGGAGAAAACUUGGCAGUGGUGCUGCACACCUCCAAGUAGAGAGACACGAACGCAACAGAAACUCAGAAAAGCAGCAGCAGGACUUGAACAAACACUUACGUAUAAAGCUUAGCUUCCAUUUGUCCAAGUGAACUGCACCCUUGAAUGAAGGAGCGGACGAAUACGAGCCUGAGCCCUCGGAACAGGAAAGGGGCGGCUUAGAAAAAUCAACGAAAAUCGACUCAAGGCUUCAUGAAACGUUCCUAAAAUUUGGUCAGAUGAAAUUCAUCUAGGCACGAAACUAUCCCUCAAAAAUCAUCACUUGAGAUAAACUCAAACUCUGGAAAAAUCAAAUCGUGACCAAGAACGAAAAAGGGAAAACCUCAAGAACACAGUGAAAACAAAAAUCACAGACACGAUUGAUGAAUCCCGGAGGACAACUGGAGGAUUCGGGCCUCCAUUCCCACUCAAAAUUCUCAAGAAAUACACUACGAAUUUUUAGGUCAUAGAGACCUCUCUCACUCACUCAAGAACAAAAACAGAAAAGAGGGGAGCAC